GAUGAAGAACGUAGCGAAAUGCGAUAAGUAAUGUGAAUUGCAGAAUUCAGUGAAUCAUCGAAUCUUUGAACGCACAUUGCGCCCGCCAGUAUUCUGGCGGGCAUGCCUGUUCGAGCGUCAUUUCAACCAUCAAGCCCCCGGCUUGUGUUGGGGACCUGCGGCUGCCGCAGGCCCUGAAAUGCAGUGGCGGGCUCGCUGUCACUCCGAGCGUAGUAGUUACAUCUCGCUCUGGGCGUGCUGCGGGUUCCGGCCGUUAAAAGCCUUAUUUACCCAAGGUUCACCUCGGAUCAGGUAGGAAGACCCGCUGAACUUAAGCAUAUCAAUAAGCGGAGGA
rnacentral:misc_RNA from 1 species